GUAGGGGUGCGAGCGUUAAUCGGGAAUUACUGGGGCGUAAAGCGUGCGCAGGCGGUUUUGUAAGACAGGCGUGAAAUCCCCGAGCUCAACUUGGGAAUGGCGCUUGUGACUGCAAGGCUAGAGUAUGUCAGAGGGGGGUAGAAUUCCACGUGUAGCAGUGAAAUGCGUAGAGAUGUGGAGGAAUACCGAUGGCGAAGGCAGCCCCCUGGGACGUCACUGACGCUCAUGCACGAAAGCGUGGGGAGCAAACAGGAUUAGAUACCCUGGUAGUCCACGCCCUAAACGAUGUCAACUAGUUGUUGGGGAUUCAUUUCUUCAGUAACGUAGCUAACGCGUGGAGUUGACCGCCUGGGGAGUACGGUCGCAAGAUUA
rnacentral:rRNA from 1 species